CCAAAGACUUGUAUAUAAAUGAGAAAACUAUUAUUACUUUUGUGUUAAACUUUUUUUAAGACAUAACUGAUUAAUGGAUUAAGAAGGAAUAGUUUUGUUCUCUUAUUUUUAAGAUCUAUUAAACUGACAAAAAUAGGAUUUGCUUAGACAAAUAUGUCAUUUAUGGAUGGUGCAAAAUAAGAAAAAAAGGGGGGGGGGGAGUAACUAUAGUAUUCACUGGGGAAAGGGGGUUGAGUAUUUUGGAUACAUUUAUGUAAUGGGCAAUUAUGAUUUUUAUGUUAUUAAAAAAAAACAUUUUUUGAAGCAGUGGAAUGCAUUUUUAUAGCAUGUUUUUUCCAAGAUUUUUAAAACAGUUAAGAGGCAGUUGAAUGUAUUUUUUAUUGCAAGGUUUUCUUAGAUAUUUUUUUAAGAGUAUGAAUUUUUUAGACGGCAAUUUUGUUAAAGACAAAAGGUAAGGCUAUUAUGGGUCUAGUCUGUUUUAAUGUACUGUUUUUAAAUGAUUUCAAAUAGUUCUUCAUUCUCUGAAGAAAUGAGAUUUAUAAGUGUGUAUCAACUCAUUUUAGAAACAUACUUUUAAUCAUUUCGUUUUAUAAGUUUAACACUUUAGGAUAUAUUUUAAUCUGGACAAGGAGAUAAAAACUUGUUUUCCCAAAUAACAUUAGAUGUUAUUUUAGAUUUUUGUGUUAAACAUGUUCAAUAACUAUUUCAUUUUCUUAAAAUGAUGUUGGCCCCCUUGUAACAGAAUUAAAGAACAAGAAACAGUACAGUGUACAUACAUAUCAUUCCAAUGUUUUCUUGUGAUGUUUUUGAUGUUAUAUAUGUUAUCAUUCAGUACCAA
rnacentral:lncRNA from 1 species